rnacentral:lncRNA from 1 species
CUUUGGUGAAAGAUUUUUGAGAGAAGUAAAGGCUUUGGCUGGAGAAGUAACAUGACUUCAAAAAUGACUGACUGCUGUGUAGGAAGUGGACUGUGAGGGGCCGGCAGCAGAAGCAGAUAGACCAAGUUGCAGGCCAGCGGGGUCAUUCAGGCAAGGGAGGGUGGUGAUUUUGUAGAUGGUCAUAAAAGAAUGUCAGAUUCUGGUUCUGAUUUAAAGGUAUUUGGUGAUUAAUUGAAUGUGAAGUGUGAGACAGAGACCUCAAGGAUCACUCCAGAUUAUUGGCCUGCUCAUUUGAAAGGGAGAAGUACCUCUAGAAGCAACUCUGGAGAUUGGUUUUAGCCAUGUUAAGUUUGAGGUGCCUUUUAGAUACACAGGUGGGCAUUGAGACACCAACCUGUAGAUGAUAUUUGAAGCCAUAAGGUGAGAUGUGAUUACCUCGAGAGUGAAUGUACACAGAUGGAGAAGAUUUCAUCAACUCAAUCUAGAGGCAGUCCUGACUAGUAGAGAUCACGGAUAUGAAGAAAAUUCACAAGGAGAUUUUUGUAAAACUGGGAGCUUCAGGGAACCAUGAAAAUUAGCCAGUCAUAGGAAGCUGGGUCAACUUAGCAAGUGCUACUUGAAAAUAUGGUCUCUGGACCAGUUGUGUCAAAUCACCCUGGAAACUUGUUAGAAAUUCAGAUUUUGGGGCUCCAUGCAGGGCCACCAAAUCAGAAUCUUUGCAGUUGAAUUCCUGCAUUCUGUUUUUGUAAUCAUGAUGAUUAUUAAACAUGUGAAGUUUGUAAAGCGCAGUCCUACAGGUUCCUGAGUAUGUGAGUUUCAGUGACAUUUGGCAAGGAGGUCCUGUUGUAGAUCUGGACUAUGCUCUUCCCUUUGUCCUCUGUGGAGGAAGGAAGGUAGCCGUAUUCCAUACUUGCUUCUGAACAAUUCCUGGAAAUAUGUCAGAACAUGAACAAUCAGAAAGGUGCUCCUUAGAGUAGGCUGAGCGAAGGCCUGAUACAGAUGGUUAGAAUGAAGGUGGAGGUUUGAGCUCCUGAAGUGGUCAAAUUCAGGGAGUCUCUUAGAGUGGACAGCCCAAAUAUGUGGAUCUGUUCAUCUGAACUUGUCCUUGAGGUUUGAAUUUUGAGAGAAAACAGGUCAGGCAAAGAGGUAAGGGAGGGGCCUCAUGCUCAGUGUCUGCAUUGCAAACUGGCCAGCCCCAAGCUGGUUCUAAAAGUUCUGUUGACCUCCAUGUCAUAUCCUGUAGAUGGAAUUGCUUAAGUGAAUUCAACAUGACAGACCCAUGUAAGGGAGAGAAGGCAAAUAAAGCAAGACAAUCCAAUCCCCUGGAUGAUAAAAUACUUAAAAGGAGUGGCUAUGUGGAAGGUGAUAACCAUCAAUUUAAACAAGGUGUUACUAGAUCCCAGAGUGACAGUUGAUUCUGGUGGUGUCAGGAGAUAUUUCACUUGGAAAAGGAGUUGUUGAACUGAAGUCCAUGGGUAUAUAACUCAAUGUGUUCAUGAAAUUGAGCAGGAAAAGAAGGUACAUGGUUUAAUUGAAGAUUAUUUUUUUCUUUAAUUAUGAUUGCAGGUAAUAAACUAUAUAGUAUUAGCAAUACCUGUGAUUUUGUUAACCAUCUAAAUCAUAAAGAUAUUUAUAUCAUUCUCUAGUUUCAGAUAUUUUAAACCAUUGUUCAGACUCAUUACUUUUGAAAUUAAUUUGUUCUUCAUAUUUAAUGUGCUGAUGAAGCACAUACUUGGUGCUUUAAUACUUUUGAAGGUUGUAUUUCAAUAUUAGCUUUUUAAAGAAUUCUGUGUAUUUCAUUUUAUGCAUUUAAAACAUUUUUUUCUGAGAAGUCCAUGAGUAUUACCAGACUACCAAGGGGAUCAUGGCACCAAAAAGGUUUAAAACUCUAAUUUAGAAAGCAGUGACUAAUCUGUAUCCUGAAUUUUAGGAUCCUUUUGAGGAUCAGGGUGUAUUUUAUUUUUUAUAAGCCCCACAAUAUUGCAUUAAUAAAGCUUUUACAUUCUCAGUUUUUCUUCAAAGGACAUAGGUUCCAUAUGUUCGCAGGAUCUCCCAGCCUUCUGAUGGGGCCCCAGGCCUCACAGUUGCUAGACCUUCCCAGUGACAUAUUUGGAACUAUCCUCAGCCAUCUGCAGCAUUCUGGGCCCCUUGGACUAUGAGCCACUGCUCCCCGCCCCAGCAGAUGUCACAGCUUCUCAGCAGAUGUCCUGGAGCCUACUGAAUGAGUAGUUCCCUGAGGUGCCCUACUGGGGAGCCUAAGCUUUGGGGCCCAGAGGAAAGGACUCAGACAAGGUAUAAAAUUCCCUUUUGAGCCCACAGGUCCCCAGAGCCUGGGGACCAGUCAGGUACUCUGCCUUCAAAUGUCUGCUGGACCAGCAUGGUCAGAGUUUGGAGAAACCCAGGAAUGAAGAAGGCCUGGGUCUUCUGUUUCCCCAGUUUAGGAAGAUGAGAGAAUAAAUAAAAUCGUUGCUGCUCCGAGAAAACCUAGGAAAAGAGACCAUGGAGAUUUUGACCUCCUGCCAUGAGGAAAAGGGUGAGAAAAAAUUAAGGGGUGGGGAAGGGAGAAUUCCAGCUGGGUGUGGAGGGAAAAUUAAGUGAAUGGGGAGUCGCCUGGGUUGGGAAGAAGCCAGUCUGUGAAGUGGCACCUCCCCAGGUGCCUGCGGAGUCUGGGAGGUUGAGGCAGACGCCAGCCUGCUCCCCUCUCUUCCUGCAGCUCUUCCUUCUCAAGCCCCAGCCCUUUCCCAAGACAGCAAAGACCAGAGCAAGUUCCAGGUGGGUUGAGUUUUCUUUUCUUUCAGGAAUACCCCCUCAGGCAUCAGAAAGUAAACCUAUCUCCCUCCCUUGGUUAAAGGAAAAAGAAAAAAAUUAUUGGGUGAGUACACCUCAUUUCUCAUUGCAUUUGUCCACAAACAACUAUGUGAGAGAGACGGUAUGAUCCUGUUUUAGAGAUGAAGAAAUGAGUGGUGAAUCUUGGAAUAAUUGAACCCAGGUUAGAAUGACUCCGUCAUCUGCCUCUGAACUACAAUAAUAGUUUCAUGGUGGGGCCUGAGAGGCAACUCUCCAAAUAACAGGUCCUGCUUCUCUGCCUGGGUUCUUCUCUCUGGGAUGUUUCUCUUAUUCAUUUAUAGAUAUAAUAAUCUCCAUGGGUUUUAGUCAGCUUUUGUUUUGCUGUGACCAGAAUACCUGACAAGAAUAAUUUAGAGGAGGGAAAGUUUAUUUAGGGCUCACAGUUUCAGAGGUCUCGAUCCAUAGAUGGAUGACUCCAUUGCUCUGGGCCCAAGGUGAGCCAGCACAUCAUGUGGGAAGGGGCCAGCAGAGGAAAGCUGCUCAGAUCAUGGCAGGUUCAGGAAGCAGAAAGGGGUGCUACAGGGAUUGGCAGGAAGAACAACCCUCCUCCAGCCAUUCCCUACCUGUCUGCAGUUACCAACAGUCAGUCCAUUCAAAGUAGGAUGGACGAUUAGGCUACAGUUCUGAUAAUGCGAUCAUCUUACCUCUAAAUUGUAUCUGCAUUAACAGGAAUAAUUUAAGUGUCCCCUUGUGGGGGGACACCUCAUAUCUAAACCAUAGCACCAUGUAAUAUCUGCUACCAAAAAAUACCCCAUGAACUGUUAAAAGACAACAUAUUGGGGCAAAAAAUAUUUCAUCUACAACAAGGUUUUAAUAUUCUCAUUUUUAAAAGAUGGGUAAAAAUAAACACCUAAGCAUUUUUGUUUAGGAAUGAAGAAAAAGAGUAAAACAAAUGAUCAAUAAUCAUGAAAAUAUGAUCAGCUCUCAUUAAUUAGAGUGAUGCCAGAUUGAAGCGAGUUGUGAUUCUUUUCCUAGCAGGUGGCCUAAGAUUUGAAAGACCAGUCUUCACCGUGUGGAGUGUGGAGAAACAGGUGCAUCUGCACAAUAGCUGGGUCAUUUCAGCCUUUCUCUAGUCCAGAUUUCCCGUUCUAAGAAUUUAUUUUACAGAGUGAUUGCUGAAGCAUUCUUUAUAACAGAUUAAAAAAAAACUUGGUAGGAGGGACUCUGUGUUCAUGCAUUGUGUUGGUGGUGCAUUAUGGUUUUAUUCAUCUGUCACCUAGAUCCUAAGCUGCUAUCAAGGGAGGUAAAAUAGAUGAAAAUAUUAGGAUGUGGAAAUAUGCUUUAUUCUGGUCAGUUUUUCCAGAAAGUUCUUUUGUGUUUAUGGUUGGCUGUGUGUCAUUUUCGUGGAUCACACUCUAUUUCAUUUGAUGUUUUUUUCUGUUAAUAAGUUCUUUUUCUGCCUAGAUGUCUAUUAUUACUACUUUACUUAUUCACUUCUCUUUAAACUCCCGUUAAAUAGAGAAUAUAACUUCUGGAUCUAUCUUACCUGUUCUUUAACUUUUUUUUUUUUUUUUUUUUUGCAAUUUUCCAUUGUGCUCUAGGAGCCCAGGAGCCUGCCCCCCCACUUUUUUUUUUUUUUUUUUUCCCAGUGAUUGAACUCAGGGGCAUUUGACCACUGAGCCACAUCCCAUGCCUACUUUUUAUUUUAUUUAGAGACAGGGUCUCACUGAGUUGCUUAGCGACUCACCGUUGCUGAGGCUGGCUUUGAACUUGUGAUCUUCCUGCUUCAAACUCCCGAGCCACUGGGAUUACAGGUGUGUGGCACCACACAGGGCCGUGCUUUCCAUUUCAUUGGCUUGGUGUUCAUUCAUUCUGCUGUUUAGUUAUCUCUUGAGUUCUUUUUACCCUAUUCAUAGCAGAAUCUUUAAAAAAUAUUUUAUUAUACAUGAACACAAUAUCUUUAUUUGUUUAUUCAGUUUUAUUCAUGGCAGAAGAGCAUGGCGAGAAAGGCAGCGAUGGAGAUGGUGACCAAGAAGCAGAGAAAGUGAGGGGGGAGCCAGGAGAAUAAGAUAUAAUCCCCAAGGACAGACCCCCAUGAUUUACUCUCCACCUGCCCACAGUUACCACCCAGAAGUCCAUUCAAAUUAGGACAGACUGAUUAGAUUACAUCUCAUAAUCUGAUCAUUUAACCUCUGAAUAUUAGCGCAGGAGUUUUUUUGGGGGGCAACUCAUAUCCAAAUCAUAACACAAUUCAUGUUCUUCCUAUUUUCAAUUCCAAGGUGUCUCAGUACUAAACACUUUGGCCGAUAUGAUUGAAGAGGGUGUGUGGCUGAGAUCUAUUGUAUUUUACAGUUCCCUGGAUAGUAAGUGUGAUAAGCACCUUGUCGUGUUUAUUGGCAGGUCUGUAUCUGUAUUUUCUCUUCUCUGAUAUCUAUUGAAAUGCUUUUGCUCAUUUUUUUACUUAUUCAUUAUCACAGUUUCAGUGGCUCUUUCAAUAGCAGGGUUGAUAACAAACGUAUCAAAAGUGAAAAGUUGUUUAUUAGGUUGUAAUUGAAAUUAUUGGCACCAAACAUUAAUAAACUUGAUUUGACUUGCCAAAUUGAACAAGUUUCUGUUUUCUUGUCUCCUUGGUGAUCCCAAAUUUAUCUCUGUAUAGUGAAUGUUUGUGUUCAUGAUGCUUCUUCACAUUUUAGGAGCCCUUGACCCUCAAGGAUGUGGCUGUGGUCUUCACCCAGGAGGAGCUGGGGCUGUUGGACUCUGCCCAGAGGAAGCUGUACCAAGAUGUGAUGCUGGAGAACUUUAGGAACCUGGUGUCUGUGGGUGACGGGAACUUCUGUGGGUAAUUGACACGAGUUUAUUGCUGUGUUCUUAUUCCCCGGAAGGAAGAUGUUUAUGGUCUUUAAAUCCUUUUUAAAAUAAAACUUAGUUUGGGCCUGUAACAAACUGCUGUGAGACUGG